rnacentral:rRNA from 1 species
GGAGUUAGCCGGUGCUUCUUCUGUGAGUGAUGUCCUUCCUGCCGGUUAUUGACCCGCAGGCCUUCUUCCUCACUGAAAGUGCUUUACAACCCGAAGGCCUUCUUCACACACGCGGCAUGGCUGGAUCAGGGUUGCCCCCAUUGUCCAAUAUUCCCCACUGCUGCCUCCCGUAGGAGUCUGGGCCGUGUCUCAGUCCCAGUGUGGCUGAUCAUCCUCUCAGACCAGCUACGGAUCGUCGCCUUGGUGAGCCGUUACCUCACCAACCAGCUAAUCCGACAUAGGAUCAUACGAUAGCGCGAGGCCCGAAGGUCCCCCGCUUUCCCCCGUAGGGCGUAUCGCGGUAUUAGCCUGGGUUUCCCCAGGUUAUCCCCCACUACCCGGGCAGAUUCCUAUGCAUUACUCACCCGUCCGCCGCUCGCCACCAGGGAGCAAGCUCCCCGUGCUGCCGCUCGACUUGCAUGUGUUAGCCUGCCGCCAGCGUUCAUCUGAGCCAGAAUCAAACUCUAGA